CUGUCAAUCAUCAUUUGCUGACUGUAUCUGUCAAGCUGACUACACAGACUAUAGUAGCCAAAGAUAAGUUGUAGAAAGUGUGUUUCAGAGUUGAAUAUAUGAAUUAAAGCAUUGGCACAGUGAAUGGCAGCUGAAAAAUUUUGACCCUUGUUUCUGGAAGUGAAAUGUUAGAUGGUUUGAUGAAGUGCCACAGAGAUUAUCGCUUAAAGAAUGCGUGCAGGCCAACCACCAACACAAGAUAUUAAAAGAGCAAUGAAAAUGAAGAUUUAACUAUAA